rnacentral:rRNA from 1 species
UACGAAGGGUGCAAGCGUUACUCGGAAUUACUGGGCGUAAAGCGUGCGUAGGUGGUGAGUUAAGUCUGUCGUGAAAGCCCCGGGCUCAACCUGGGAAUGGCGAUGGAUACUGGCUCGCUAGAGUGCGGUAGAGGAGAGUGGAAUUCCCGGUGUAGCAGUGAAAUGCGCAGAUAUCAGGAGGAACACCAAUGGCGAAGGCAGCUCGCUGGGACGUGACUGACGCUGAGACGCGAAAGCGUGGGGAGCAAACAGG